UCGCCCUUAGAGUUUGAUCCUGGCUCAGGACGAACGCUGGCGGCGUGCCUAAUACAUGCAAGUCGAGCGAGCUUGCCUAGAUGAAUUUGGUGCUUGCACCAGAUGAAACUAGAUACAAGCGAGCGGCGGACGGGUGAGUAACACGUGGGUAACCUGCCCAAGAGACUGGGAUAACACCUGGAAACAGAUGCUAAUACCGGAUAACAACACUAGACGCAUGUCUAGAGUUUAAAAGAUGGUUCUGCUAUCACUCUUGGAUGGACCUGCGGUGCAUUAGCUAGUUGGUAAGGUAACGGCUUACCAAGGCAAUGAUGCAUAGCCGAGUUGAGAGACUGAUCGGCCACAUUGGGACUGAGACACGGCCCAAACUCCUACGGGAGGCAGCAGUAGGGAAUCUUCCACAAUGGACGCAAGUCUGAUGGAGCAACGCCGCGUGAGUGAAGAAGGGUUUCGGCUCGUAAAGCUCUGUUGGUAGUGAAGAAAGAUAGAGGUAGUAACUGGCCUUUAUUUGACGGUAAUUACUUAGAAAGUCACGGCUAACUACGUGCCAGCAGCCGCGGUAAUACGUAGGUGGCAAGCGUUGUCCGGAUUUAUUGGGCGUAAAGCGAGUGCAGGCGGUUCAAUAAGUCUGAUGUGAAAGCCUUCGGCUCAACCGGAGAAUUGCAUCAGAAACUGUUGAACUUGAGUGCAGAAGAGGAGAGUGGAACUCCAUGUGUAGCGGUGGAAUGCGUAGAUAUAUGGAAGAACACCAGUGGCGAAGGCGGCUCUCUGGUCUGCGACUGACGCUGAGGCUCGAAAGCAUGGGUAGCGAACAGGAUUAGAUACCCUGGUAGUCCAUGCCGUAAACGAUGAGUGCUAAGUGUUGGGGAGGUUUCCCGCCUCUCAGUGCUGCAGCUAACGCAUUAAGCACUCCCGCCUGGGGGAGUACGACCGCAAGGGUUGAAACUC
rnacentral:rRNA from 1 species